AUCCUUAUGCAAGGGAAUUACGCAUAUCAGUGAGGAUUCGUCCGAGAUUGUGUUUUUGCUGGUUGAAAACUUUAACCACGACCUCUCCUUUCAGUCUUUUGGCCUUGAGCCUGACUAUUAGGGAAUUUUUGGAAUCUUUUUUCACCUUUUCGGUGCCUCUGUGCAUCAUAAAUUUGAUUUUUCAAAAUUGAAG
rnacentral:snRNA from 1 species